UACGAAGGGUGCAAGCGUUACUCGGAAUCACUGGGCUUAAAGCGUUUGUAGGCCGUUUUGCAAGUUUGAUGUGAAAGCCCACUGCUCAAAGGUGGAAGUGCAUUGAAUACUACAAAACUAGAGUAUAGGAGGGGUAAAUGGAAUUCCUGGUGUAGAGGUGAAAUUCGUAGAUAUCAGGAGGAACAACGGAGGCGAAGGCGAUUUACUGGACUAUAACUGACGCUGAAAGACGAAAGUGUGGGGAGCAAACAGG
rnacentral:rRNA from 1 species